GGGGAAUCCAUUCUGCCACAUAACGUCACAUAUUCAAGAAAAUCUUUUAGCCCUUUUCGUAUAUGCACAGUACUUGAUUAUUGCACUGAAUUAUGGUUUAUGGCCAUCGAUCUAGUUUCUUCUGAGGAAAGAAAGAAAACUUGGCACAGGAGAGGGCACAUACAAAACCGCAGGCAGCAUGAAACUCUGCAUGGAUUAAAAAGUAUUGCUGAGGGCUUGUUGUUUUAGAUACGAAAUUUACUUACAACACGGAGAGAAAUUUGAUUAUGAGAGUCACAGGAAUGAAAAAGCAGCAUCACUUGAAACUCGAAUUAUGUCUAUAUUGGAUGUACUAAUUCAGGUCUUAGUGCCAAAUCUGUAGAUGUAUGUCUAUAACUGGAAGGGACUACAGGAGUUUGGGAAAGUAAAUGGGAUCUCUAGAAAGGCCCAUAGGACAUGGAUGCGAUGAAAGGAAGAAUGGAGGCUCAAUGACUAUUGAAGGGAGAGGAAGAGCGCUACAGCAAAUGUGGAAGAAGGGCAAAAUGGUAGCAAAGAUGCUUGAUAAAAUCAUGAGGAAACUGUGUUUACCUAAAAACACAUACAAAUGUA